rnacentral:rRNA from 1 species
AGAGUUUGAUCAUGGCUCAGAGCGAACGCUGGCGGCAGGCUUAACACAUGCAAGUCGAGCGGGCGUAGCAAUACGUCAGCGGCAGACGGGUGAGUAACGCGUGGGAACAUACCUCUUGGUUCGGAACAACACAGGGAAACUUGUGCUAAUACCGGAUAAGCCCUUACGGGGAAAGAUUUAUCGCCGAAAGAUUGGCCCGCGUCUGAUUAGCUAGUUGGUGAGGUAACGGCUCACCAAGGCGACGAUCAGUAGCUGGUCUGAGAGGAUGAUCAGCCACAUUGGGACUGAGACACGGCCCAAACUCCUACGGGAGGCAGCAGUGGGGAAUAUUGGACAAUGGGCGCAAGCCUGAUCCAGCCAUGCCGCGUGAGUGAUGAAGGCCCUAGGGUUGUAAAGCUCUUUUGUGCGGGAAGAUAAUGACGGUACCGCAAGAAUAAGCCCCGGCUAACUUCGUGCCAGCAGCCGCGGUAAUACGAAGGGGGCUAGCGUUGCUCGGAAUCACUGGGCGUAAAGGGUGCGUAGGCGGGUCUUUAAGUCAGGGGUGAAAUCCUGGAGCUCAACUCCAGAACUGCCUUUGAUACUGAGGAUCUUGAGUUCGGGAGAGGUGAGUGGAACUGCGAGUGUAGAGGUGAAAUUCGUAGAUAUUCGCAAGAACACCAGUGGCGAAGGCGGCUCACUGGCCCGAUACUGACGCUGAGGCACGAAAGCGUGGGGAGCGAACAGGAUUAGAUACCCUAGUAGUCC